GCCAGCUAAAGUUGCCGGCGGCGAGCGCACGGCCGGCCUCCCUGGGAGCUCCGUCGCCGGCCCUGAAUUUUUGCAAAAAACCGCGAGUUUGGAUCGCGAGUAUUAAUCGCGAUCCAAAUAUAUCUAUAUACCCCCCUGGUUUGGAUCGCGAUUAUCGAUCGCGAUCCAAACUAAGGGUGUAUUUGCAUAUAUUCGGAUCUAAAUAUUUUCCGAUAACCGCCUAGUUUUCUAAACUUAUAAAUAAUGCCCCCUGGUUUGGUUCUCUUCACCUCGUCCGUCCGCUCCUCCAGCGCUCACGCCGCCGGCCACCUCCGCCUUCCGGACUCCCCUCCCCCGCUACCGAAUCACCGGAUUCGUGGCCGGCUCCCAGACGAAGAGGAGAAAAUCUCCGUCCGGCAUUGGGCGGCGAGACCUGCAAAAGGAAGCUUGUAUUUUCUUUGGAUGAACAGCACCCGCCGUCCCGAGCCAGGGCCCACCUCGCCGGCAACGAAGAAGGAGACAACCGGCCAAAUCAACAACGCGCGAGGACACGCGAGCUGAAAGAUUGCCAUGCGCGGCGCAUUCUUUGAGAAAUUGCAGCUUCGGCCUGUAAAUUUCCAUGGCUUUUUGGGGGACUUGACUUCGUUGUGAUCUCUGCAGGGAGGCAUACAUGUUCUAGCUGACAGACUGAAUAAUCACACUCGAUCAACAUUGUCCUGACUCCUGACUGCUUGUCCCCAGAUUUGUGCAGGGCCAGCCAAGGCAGUCCUCCACAUCCAGAGCCUGUGACUCCAAGGAUAACGACUAAUGUAUUAAGAACAACAGUACAUUUUCAUCUCAGACAGAUUACGUGUUCAAGUCAUGCAAUAGGUCAGUUUUUAAGUCCUAUGUUUGAUCUUUGGGGCUCCUUUCCCCUUCACCUGACUGUUCUGACUGACUUUUUUGUCCCUUGUAACACUAGAAGCUGAGAACAUGUGGACCAUGCAGCUGUUUGGGAAGCUUAAAUUAAUCAAAGAGAAAUUAAAAACGACCAGACUACGAUUUUACAUAGCCUUAUUAUCUAGCAGGAAAGUAUGGUAUGUUUGAACAUAUACGCUAGGCAACUACAACGAGCUGAGGUGAAGCAACCAUCUGUUCUGGACUCUGAAUCUGACAGCACACCAAGUAUCUGUACUGCUAUAGUACAGAGGUACCUGCGUUUUCCUAUACAUCACCUCCAAUUUCCGAGUAUUUAUUGUUAAUUUGUGAUGGACUUUUGAUAAUGAGCAACAGAUAUUCUUUGGUCGGAUUCAAGCAGUCACCAGCUCUCUUGUGGCUUCUGAAUACAAUGAGAAUGUUUACAAGUACCAUAUUUGGAGUUAUGCUUCAGAUUGGAGUCCAGAGUUUCAGACAAUACGGUGCUAGAGUUCAGGGUAUGGACACGCGCGAAAUUCCUGGAGGUGGAAACGUGCAAUGGGCCUGGCAACAAAUUCUGAAUAGCUUUGACCUUGUUGUCAAGACCCCAAUGGAAGCAAUCGAAGGUAUACGGGUUAUGAUUUCUUUCAUUUAGCUCAUAGUAUUUUGAGAUGAGCAUUGUUGGUUAUGGUACUUGAGGAAUGACAAGCUACAUAGAAUCAAGUUCAGUUGGUCACAAAAUGAAAAGGAAACUUAUUCCUUUUUGCAUCAUCUCCUUCAGCAAGCAAUUUGGUUACAGGUUCAGGUAAAAAUGUAACAAGAAUGUAGAAUUUUGAUACUCACUUAAUGGCAUUCUAAAUUGGCAUGCCAAUAUUGCCAAAUUAA